rnacentral:rRNA from 1 species
CCUACGGGAGGCAGCAGUGGGGAAUAUUGGGCAAUGGGCGCAAGCCUGACCCAGCAAUGCCGCGUGAAGGAAGAAGGCUUUCGGGUUGUAAACUUCUGUGACAGGGGAAGAGCAGAAGACGGUACCCGGAAAACAAGCCACGGCUAACUACGUGCCAGCAGCCGCGGUAAUACGUAGGUGGCAAGCGUUGUCCGGAUUUACUGGGUGUAAAGGGCGGGUAGCCGGGAAGGCAAGUCAGAUGUGAAAUCUGGAGGCUCAACCUCCAAAUUGCAUUUGAAACUGUUUUUCUUGAGUACUGGAGAGGCAGACGGAAUUCCUUGUGUAGCGGUGACAUGCGUCGAUAUCAGGAGGCACACCAGUGGCGAAGGCGUUCUUCUGGACAGCAACUGACGGUGAGGCGCGAAAGCGUGGGUAGCAAACAGGAUUAGAUACCCUUGUAGUC